GAGCGUUAUCCGGAUGUAUUGGGUUUAAAGGGUGCGUAGGUGGCCUGUUAAGUGAGGGGUGAAAGACGGUAGCUCAACUAUCGCAGUGCCCUUGAUACUGAUGGGCUUGAAUGAACUAGAGGUAGGCGGAAUGUGACAAGUAGCGGUGAAAUGCAUAGAUAUGUCACAGAACACCAAUUGCGAAGGCAGCUUACUAUGGUUUUAUUGACACUGAGGCACGAAAGCGUGGGGAUCAAACAGG
rnacentral:rRNA from 1 species